GUGGAGCACUCAAGAGUGGGAUUAGUGCUCUGAUAAAAGACCCCAUAAAGCUCCCUAGCCCCUUUUCACUGUGUGAGGAUAUUAGCAUCCUUUGGCCUGAAAGAAGCCCUCACCUGACCUGCCAAUGCCUUGACCUCCAGUCUCCAGAACUGUGAGCAGUAUGUUUCUGCUCUUCAUAAGGCACUGGUCUGUGGUAUUUUGUCCUAGCAGCCCAAACAGACGAAGACAGUCUAUCUCUCCACCAGCCUGGCUGCUGGAGGGCAGCUGCUGUGUCCUAUACAUUUUUGAGUAAGACCCUACAUAAGCGAGUAGUUCAUUUAGGUUGCAUGAUUUUCUGGCUACAGAGGAUUUAAAUGACUUGAAUCUCCUAGGACACAUGAUUCUUCAGGCUUCCAGACAGGAAUCCUAACCUUCUAAUCUUCUCCACAGAGUGGCAAAUGCAGGGCUUAAUUGAGCUGUGUUAGGAUGAUAACCCAGGGAGCCUAAUAAAAUGAGGUGUAGGAUUACAGGCAGGGCUUGCUCUGUGAGCAAUUUUGAACUGUCAUGGGGAGGUGGUAAUACGGGAUGAGGGUGGGAGUUUCUGGAGCCAGUAUGCAUGACACCAGCCUGGAGAUCCAUUUAUAGAUCUAAUGGCGAUGGUUUGGAUGGACUCACUCAAAACAGUGCAUGCACAGAAAAGCUUGGGUUCUUCUGGAUGAAGCUAAGUGUUGUGGUUUUUUUUUUUCCUUUAACUUAAUGAUAAAACCCAAUGAAUCCUAGGACCUACCAAUAGUGGUGAAUUGGUUCACCACUUCACUGCUUGGAGGGAGGAGAGAGGAAUACCUCCAACAAGGAGGACAACUUUUCAUGGCACAUGCUGCUUAAUGUUCCCUAAACUGAGCUUCCCAUCCAGGGAGAGUGGACACCCUGACAGCAAGGAGCCCCCAGGGCAGGGUGUGAGGCAGAGCGGGAGUGUUGUUACCAUGCAGAUUCCUAGGCCCUGCCCAUCCAUACCUACUGAACUGGGGCUGCUGGGGGAGGGGAUGGGCAUUCAUAGCUUUUAGGUUUCCAGGGGACCCUGAGGCCUGCAGAAUGACAUUUGGCAUCUAUUGCCAGGACAGGCGAACACCCCAGUAGAUGGACCUUGGAAAAAAUGAGACAUCAAUGAGGUUCAAUAGUGUUACCUCACUCCCUCAGCUAGUGACCCUGCUGACUGAAAGUAGAGCUGCUAUUGAUUGAGCACUUGUGUGCCUCCUGAGUUAGGAACUAUUAUUGUCCCCUUUUACAGAUGACUAUGUUGAGGCACAGGGAGGCUUGAGUAACUGUUUCAAGAUGCUAGGGCUGAGGGUGGUGAACUCAGCAUUCAAACCUGGCCUGCUGAUUCCAUGCUGGCUCUUAACCCUACUCUACAUGGGCUUCUAUAAACUAGGGUGUCACGGAGCCCCCUGCAAGCUCUCUGCUGCUCCUUGCUGGGUGUCCUUGGAUGGCCCCUUCCCUCCUCCAGCCUGGGCUCCAUGACCCCAGGCUUCCCUGUGGGCCAGGGCUGGGGCUGGCUCCCAUACGUCCCCCCGGCCUGAGUCGCCUCUCCUGUACACCUGCUUCCGUGGUUCCACAGGAAACUGAGCUGUCAUCUAGGAUCUCACAUGGAGAUUGUGGCUGAGCUGGAAAAGGGAAGAACAUUCUCUAGAGACAGUUCCAUGCCAUACAGACCUUUGUCCCUGUUUUGAAGAGGAUUCAGUGUUUCCAAUUCUGUGAGGUACUGCUGUGUGGGUGAGAUACAGGCAUGGGGCUGCUGUCCUUGCUGUCGGAGACUGUGCAUGUCCCUUGUGGGCUCCCAUUGUCCCUACAUUCUGCUCUGGGUCAAUGCAGGUGAGAUGUCUGGAACUAUGUAUUCCCCCUUCCUCUUGGUCUGGCAGAGGCAGGCAAAGAGAGGUGCGGGUGAGAUUUGGGAGGUGGAGGAGAAAGGGAACACAUGCGUCCUUGGUGGUAGGUGAUGAUAGCUUAUGAGGGUCAGCUGCUUGGUGCUGUGGGCUGCUGAGAUAAUUUCUGGUGGCCUCUUUGCUCCCCAACUGUGCAGCCAUCAUGGAUGCCUCUAACUCUCCCUGUGAAAACCAUUUCCACGACUAAGUGGGAUACCUUGAGGGGAUGCAGCCUGAUAAGAGCUGGUGCGUAUGCUGGGCCACAUGCACCUGAGUGUGCCUAGGAGCUGGGGCGUGGUUACUGAUAUUUCUAUGGAAUGCACACAGGUACCUUCCCCUGCCCUCUUUGUGGAGAGGUGUGUGAAAGGCUCCAUGGGCCGCCCUGGAAUGUUACAGAGUCUCUGUGCCUACAGAUGAUUUUAUCAAUGUUUAACUAAACUUCCCUCGUAAAAUUGACAAGCAGUCUAAAAAUAUUCUGCUAAUAAGCCGUGGAUUGAUGAUCACACUAAUAACGUAAGCAGAAGGGACAAGAGGUAGCACGACUGGCAGAUAUACUCUUAGUGGGGACUUUCCUUGCUUCCACAUUAUGUUGUGAACAUACUGCUGAACUGGUGAGAGUUUAUAUAGUUGCAUCCUUAAUAAUCUUUUUUUAAAUUGUAUAACUUAAAAAUAGAUUUGAAAAUAAAAAUAAAUUUUAAAACGA